rnacentral:rRNA from 1 species
GCGUUGUCCGGAAUUAUUGGGCGUAAAGAGCGUGUAGGCGGUUCGGUAAGUCUGCUGUGAAAUCUUGGGGCUCAACCCCGAGCGUGCAGCGGAUACUGCCGGGCUAGAGGGUGGUAGAGGCGAGUGGAAUUCCGAGUGUAGCGGUGAAAUGCGCAGAUAUUCGGAGGAACACCAGUAGCGAAGGCGGCUCGCUGGGCCACACCUGACGCUGAGACGCGAAAGCGUG